UUUGAAGGCUUACAAUGGUUUUUCUGGGUUGUAGCAUGAAGUAGAGGGUAGGUUUUUAAUUCGGUUGUGGAGGCUUUUAUUAGCGUGAGUGCGUAGUGUUUGUUUUGGUGGCUUGAGGUAGUGUCCUGAAAUUAAUUAGUGAGGUUUUUUUUUAAUAUUGAUGGUGGAAUUCUUGUUUAUUAUAUCAUAAGCGGUUUUUUUCAUUUGGCUUAUUUGAUUGCCGUGUGUGUUUUAUUGUUGCAGGGAAUUUGGGAGUUAUUGUUUAUGGUUACAUUUCUCUUUUGGCGACGUGCUUAUUUCUAAGUGGUAUUUGUGUUUUGAUGGUUUGAGGCAUUAUGGGUUUAUUGAGUUAGGAAUAAUUAUUUUGUUGUUGUUAAUAUGAUUUUUUUUUUGGUAGUUUGAUGUAUUUGGUUGUUGUUUUUUAUUAGUUUUGUUUUUGGGAACGUGGGUAUUUCUAUGGUGGAUCUUUUUAGGUAGUUAUUUUAUUUCGGUGGUGAAUCUUUUCUUUCUUCGUGGUUCCGAUUUUGUUAUAUCGGUAAUUAUUUGGUGGUUUUUUUUCGUUCAUUUUAUAGAGUAUUGGGUUCUCUUUAUGAGUUAGUGUAGUGGUAGAGUUUUGGGGUUUGAUUUUUUAUUUUUUUUCUAAGAAACGUUCGGGGUCUGUUGUAUGGUUUGGAGUAUAGUAAGUUAGUUGGCUUUUUUUUUUUUUUCUUAAUGUUUUUUUGUGAUUUGCUGUGUGGGUUUUGUUAUGAACAAAACAGCUUGGCUGCGACACUUGGCUUGGGCUAAGUACUGACAUUGAAAUGUUAAUUAGCUAAUUGUUCCUGGGAAUCACCUACCUCCCCCCACCCGCACUACCAUUCUAUAGGUCUUUUUAGAAAUGUGUGUGUCAUUUUUGUGAUGUGAUAAGAACUGCUAGUGAAAGAAGUGUAGUGCGGGUUUUUUUGCCGGUAGUUGGUUGGCUGUGGAACCUUUCUGAAUAUUUUGGACGGCAUUGUUGGGAAUUUGAUGCUGUUUUGGCAUUUUAGUUUGAGGAACUGGAUUAGAACUGCAAAGUUUUAACUCUAAUGAAACAAAAGGAAUGCAUAAAUAUGAAAAUAGGAAUAUAAAACUUCAAUUUUAAAUAUGAACGGAAAACAUAUAAAUAAAACAUGUAACAUGAAUAAUGUUAUCCAUUACUAUUAGGUAUUAUAUUGUUUGAUAUAGGGUAUUUUAUAUGUUUAUAUACAUAUAAAUGUAGAUUAUAAAUAUAAAUAUGCAUCUAGAAACGUAUAAUUAAUACAUGUGGAUAUAUAAAUAUGACAAAAUAAUAGGAAUCAAUACAGUACAUAAUGCAUUUUUUACUGUAUAUGUCUUAUUAUGACACAUUAUAUGUCAUAGGAAUUAUAGCUCGAAAUAUAGUACCUCAAGAUAUUGUGAUAGAAUAUAUAAGUACUUGUGAAAAUCGAAAAUAGAAAUAAAGAAAUAUCUAAAUAUAGUUGAAAGUAAAGGGGAUUUUAAUUGUCUAUUUGGUAGUAGGUAGGGGUUUUAUUAUAAAAAUGAUAAAUAUAAAUGAAAUAAAAUUAGAAAUCUAUGUAUAGAAAUAUAUCCUAAAUAUGUUAAGAGCUAUAUAAAAUCUCAAAGGUAAGUAACUAUGAGUAUUAGUGGUAUGUACGGAAUAGAAUUUAAAUUAAAAUUUAUCUAUCUUGCUACCUUAUUAUCUAUAUAAUAUAUAUUUAUAGAUACAUCAAUAUAAAGGAGAAAUGCGCAUGUGACUAUAAUGAUGAAAAAAUAUAUGAAUAUUCCAGUAGCGUCUAAAGAAAGGGAUUUUUUUGCUUUUAUUUGAUUAGAGGCAGGGUUUUAAUGGAAAAACGAUGAAUAUACAUUUUGUUUUGGUAUCUAUCUAAAUAUGGAAAUAGAUAAUCAAUGUAUACAGAUUAAUAUACAAACAUAAAAUGUAAAUAAAAAUAAGUAUGAGGAAGAGAUAGACUAUAAAUAACACCAUACAUCAAUCUACAAUAAAAAUGUACAUUUGAACAUACAUGCGAAAAAUAAAGAUAAAUUUAGACGGAGUUUAAAGAAAGGGGUUUUUAAAAAAAUUUUUACUUGCAUAGAGGCAGGGGUUUAUUUUAAGCCCUAUAAACCUUUUAGAAAUCUAAAUCUAACUAUAGAAAUAUACAAGCAAUAUAUUAAGAUAUGUGUAAAAAUAUAAAAUAUAAUAGGAAUAAAUGUAAGAAAUUAUAAAAAUACAAUUACACAUCAAUAUACGUUAUAAAUCCGAAUGUGAAUAUAAAUAUGAAAAAUAUAAAAAUAAAAUAGCUUGAAAUGCAGUUUAAAAGAGAAGGUUUUUGCUUUUGGUUCCUGUUGGGUUAGAGGCAGGGGUUUUUUGCUGGCGUUCUUUUCCGCGCGGGAUGUUUUGGGGCAUUUGCUGCAGGGCAGGUUCCGGAGGGCAUCGCGCCCGUUCUUUUCUGCCGCCGGCCCCGCCCGCGGCCCCGAGGCGAGCGGCGGCCCCCGGCGGUGGCGGGCGGCAGUGCUGCCGCCCUGUGGGCAGAGGGCGGUACUGCAGCCCGCCGCCCGCGGCCGCCAUCUUGGGAGUGGCUUGUCGCGGGCUCGCUUGACCUUCUCGAGAUGGCGCGAAAAAGAGGACGUCGGCAUUCGAGGACCCGUGUCUGUUUUUUCUACACUGCCUGAAUGGUCCCCAACGCCGGCGCCCCCCGACGGGAUUUUCCGCGGCGGUUCCGGUGCCGUGCACACGGGCUGUGGGGUCAGCAGCACCGCGAGCGGCGCGCGGGGCGGUGUCUGUGGGCGCAGGGCGGGGGCGGCGGCGGCUCGGGCGGCCCGAGCCUCAAAAACAAGCUCUGGUCAGGAAACAAGCUUGGUGCUUUGCACGCAGAAGAGCUAAGGAAGAUUCCUCUCUGUUCUAAAUCUAAUGUACCCAAAAAAAUUUGCAUCAAAGUAUUUUGUACUGAGGUCCUGGUGUAUUUUAUAUAUACACAAGAACACAUAUGAGUACAAAAUAUAUAUAUAUUAUGCUUAUAUGGUGAGUGUUCCUGAAGUGCUGUCAUCCCAACUUAUUUUUGUGACUUCACAAGAAGCAGUUCAAAUGUAUUAGAAAGCAAGUUGCAAACUCUAGUUUUAGACUGAUAAAGUCAUCUAGGCGUGCCUAUGAUAAAAUUCUAUAGAUAUAUGCAUCUAUAACAUAUAUAAAACUGAUUUCAUUUACGUGAACUCCUUGUCUACACUAAGCCAGGAAUUGCCAAAGGCUUGUUUUGAAGUUGAGACAGGAACAAUCCAUUAUUAGUGAUUUCCAGAAUCCUUCCUUAUUUCAGGGGAAGAAAGAUCCUGUUUUUGGCAAAUUCCUCAAUGUAGAAGUACCUGCAAUCAUAUAAGCAUUCCCUUUAUUUCUCUUUUAAUUUAAAAAAAAAAAAAAGUUAUUACAUGUGAAUCUGAUUUAUUCACAUUACUUUAGUCUGGGUUUUUUGCAUCUAUAAUUGCUCUUAAGGUUAUUGCACCUUGCCAGAAAGAAACCAAAGCAUAAAAAAUUUCCUCUGUACUAAAAUUUUCCUAAUGAUGAUUGAAAGCAUUUUCUUCAUUAGAGUCUCUGCCUUUUGAGAUCAGUACUUAGAAAGUCAAGUUUCUGAUAAAUUCUCAAAGUGAGGAAAUAAUAGGAUUAGAAAUGUUUUUCUUAAGUUUUUCAAAAUCCAAAUUGUUUCAAAGAAUUUUGCUGCACUGAUCUUUGCUAUUAGUUUCAGAUUUUACAGAAUACCAUUCCUUAGAUUCAUUCAGCCUUCCCAAACGUCUGUCACUGAAUUGGACUGCAUCAAUUGUCAAAAAAGAUCCAAGCCCAGCUGAAAGAGAUUCGUUAUGGGGAAAAGGAUUUGAUUUUUAAGGCACAACAGCUAACAGAUCUGGAGCAAAAACUAUCUGUUGCAAAAGACAAAUUGGAAAACGCAGCCCUUGACCAAGUAAGAAAUGUCAUGUAAUG